GCAUCAUGUCUUUUUAUAUAGACUAGAUUGGUAUUGAGAUCUCAAAACACGAGCUAAGAGUUUUGGUCCCUUCCCCCACUGAACAAUGCUUCCUUCCAACAACUACCUGCUACUCAAGGCAAAGCUGUCAGGUGGUUUGAAUACCUUACACUCCUCCACCUGCUAACAUGGGUAAUGUUCAGUAAAAUUAAGCUAAGCAUAAGCAAAAGCUACCUUUGCAUUA